rnacentral:rRNA from 1 species
UACGUAGGUGGCGAGCGUUGUCCGGAUUUACUGGGCGUAAAGAGCGCGCAGGCGGUCGUUCAAGUCGCGUGUGAAAGCCCCCGGCUCAACUGGGGAGGGUCACGCGAUACUGAUCGACUCGAAGGCAGGAGAGGGUAGUGGAAUUCCCGGUGUAGUGGUGAAAUGCGUAGAUAUCGGGAGGAACACCAGUGGCGAAGGCGGGUCUCUGGGCCGAUACUGACGCUGAGGAGCGAAAGCGUGGGGAGCGAACAGG